rnacentral:pre_miRNA from 1 species
GAUCUAACUGAAAAAGUCAUCAACAACAAAGUUGUAUAAUACAUCUAAAUCUACAAUUUUUAUUUUGGUCAUUUGUUCAUCCGAUAAAGUGAUUGUAACAUUGUUCACAAGUUUUACAUAUCUCCCACAUGGUUUCAUAAUUUAUAAGGGAGAUGUGUAAAUCUUGUGAUCAACAUUACUAUCACUUUGCUGAAUGAACAAAUGACCAAAAUAAAAUUUGUAGAUCUCAAUCAGUUCUACAACUUUUGUGUUCAUGACUUUUUCAGCUGAAAUC